rnacentral:misc_RNA from 1 species
UUUCCGUAGGUGAACCUGCGGAAGGAUCAUUAUCGUACAAAAUGUGUGAGGCAUGCAAGGGUUGUCGCUGGCUUUCAACGUUGUUGCACGCCGGAGCGUGUCCUCUCACAUAACACAAGCCAUCUCACCCUUUGUGCACCACCGCGUGGGCACCCUCUGGGAUCGGACCGAUCUCUUAGGGGACUCGCGUUUUCACACAACACCCUUUUAAAAAGUGUAGAAUGACCUCAUUUAUGCGAUCAAUACGACUUUCAACAACGGAUCUCUUGGCUCUC